rnacentral:tRNA from 1 species
ACACCUAAGGUAGUGUAAACACACAAGAUUUUGAGUCUUGAAAUAUCUUUAAUCCGCAA